UACGGAGGGGGCCAGCGUUGUUCGGAAUCAUUGGGCGUAAAGGGCGCGUAGGCGGCUUUGUAAGUCCGUUGUGAAAUCCCUCGGCUCAACCGAGGAACUGCGACGGAUACUGCUUGGCUUGAGUCCCGGAGAGGGUAGCGGAAUUCCCAGUGUAGCGGUGAAAUGCGUAGAUAUUGGGAGGAACAUCGGUGGCGAAGGCGGCAUCCUGGACCAAUAUUGACGCUGAGGAGCGAAAGCCAGGGGAGCAAACGGG
rnacentral:rRNA from 1 species